rnacentral:rRNA from 1 species
GCAGCAGCCGCGGGAAUACGUAGGUGGCAAGCGUUGUCCGGAAUUAUUGGGCGUAAAGGGCUCGCAGGCGGUUUCUUAAGUCUGAUGUGAAAGCCCCCGGCUCAACCGGGGAGGGUCAUUGGAAACUGGGAAACUUGAGUGCAGAAGAGGAGAGUGGAAUUCCACGUGUAGCGGUGAAAUGCGUAGAGAUGUGGAGGAACACCAGUGGCGAAGGCGACUCUCUGGUCUGUAACUGACGCUGAGGAGCGAAAGCGUGGGGAGCGAACAGGAUUAGAUACCCCAGUAGUCCCUGUCUCUUAUAC